AUGGCUGAGCAGCAGACCCCUCACAGACAGGACGGACCCAACAUGCGCGGGGGCCCAGAGCCCAAGGAGCAGGAGGCCAGCCCACCAGACCCGGGCCCAGGCUGCAGCCCCGCUCCACGCAGGGGACCCCUCAGGACCCUCCAGCUCACCGGCAUGGCACCCGUGACCUCGACCCACACCCGUCCCCACGACCCAGCAAGCGCCUCGUGUGCCACGACCCGCGGGGGGCGGGGACUGCGGUCCGCAGGGCCCCUCGGUGCCCAGCGCGGGUCACCCCAGCCGCCCGCCCACCCCGUCCCCCGUCCCCCGUCCCCGGGCCGCGGAGCUCCCGAGGCUGCCCCGCCCCGGCGUCCGCCCCGUCCUCCCUCCGACGAGACGCUACAAAAAGAGCGCGUCCAGGGGGGCACUUCGGGAGACGACGAGAGCGAGUGUGAACUGGGAGAACAGCAGCGAGCCGCACCGGCACCGGAGGAGGAGUCCCCAGGGAAACCGGGCCACAGAAGGACACGUCCACGCGAUCAUCCGUCACCAGUGGAGAGUAAUGAACGGAGCAGCGGGACUUGUGACGGAAAACACAACGCCCGGGACGGCCGUCAGACACACGCACGGCCCGGCCUCGGGGACGAAGGCCUGCACGAUGGGUCCCUCGUCUCAGGCGCGCGAGGCUCCCUGUCGGCCGCAGAUUGUGCCUGUGCCAGGAUGGAGCGGGGCCCGUGUCAAUGUGACUACUUUGACUACUGGGGCCAAGGAACCCCGGUGACGGUGUCCUCAGAGACCUCAUCCCGUCCAAAUCUCUUCCCCCUCAUCACCUGUGAGAGCUCCCUGUCCGAUGAGCCCCUGGUGGCCAUGGGCUGCCUGGCCCGGGACUUCCUGCCCAGCUCCGUCACCUUCUCCUGGAACUACAAGAACAACAGUGUGGUCAACAACCAGGACAUCCAGACCUUCCCUCCAGUCCUGAGAGAGGGCAAGUACGUGGCUACCUCUCAGGUGCUCCUGCCCUCCGUGGACGUCCUCCAGGGUUCAGAUGACUUCCUCACAUGCAAUGUGAAACACCCCAAGGGCAACAGUGAGGUGAACGUGCCCAUCCCAGUGCCUCUAGAGCUGUCCCCCAACGUGACUGUCUUCAUCCCACCCCGUGACGCCUUCUCUGACAACAACCAGCGCACGUCCCAGCUCCUCUGUCAGGCAACAGGCUUCAGCCCCAAGAAGAUCUCUGUGUCCUGGCUUCGUGACGGAAAGCCCAUCAAGUCGGGCUUCAACCCAGGCAACGUGGAGGCUGAGAACCAAGGGCCCGGGCCCGUGACCUUCAAGGUGCUCAGCACGCUGACCAUCACCGAGAAUGCCUGGCUCAGCCAGAGCGUGUUCACUUGCAAUGUGGAGCACAAUGGGCUGACCUUCAAGAAGAACGUGUCCUCCGCAUGCAUCCUCAACACGCAGGCCACCAUCAGAAUCUUCGCCAUUCCCCCCACCUUCGCCAGCAUCUUCCAAACCAAGUCGGCCAAGCUGUCCUGCAGGGUCGUAGACCUGACCACCCGCGACAGCCUGAACGUCUCCUGGACCCGCCAGAAUGGCGACUUUCUGCCAACCACCACCAUCUUCCAGAGCAACCUCAACAACACCUUCAGUGCCACAGGGGAGGCCACCGUCUGUGCAGAGGACUGGGAGUCAGGGGAGGACUUCACCUGCACGGUGACCCACACAGAUCUGCCCUCGCCACUGAAGAAGACCAUCUCUAAACUCAAGGACGUCAACAAGCAACCGCCCUCCGUCUACGUCCUGCCACCCAGCCGGGAGCAGCUGAGCCUGCGGGAGUCAGCCACAGUCACUUGCCUGGUGAAGGGCUUCUCACCCGCAGAUGUGUUCGUGCAAUGGCUGCAGAAAGGCCAACCCAUGUCCUCUGAGAGUUACGUGACCAGUGACCCGAAGCCCGAGCCCCAAGACCCCCACCUCUACUUUGUCCACAGCACCCUGACUGUGAGUGAGGAGGAGUGGAGCUCGGGGGAGACCUACACCUGUGUUGUGGGCCACGAGGCCCUGCCCCACAUGGUGACGGAGAGGAGCGUGGACAAGUCCACCGGUAAACCCACCCUGUACAACGUGUCCCUGGUCUUGUCUGACACAGCCACCACCUGCUACUGACCUGUGGGCCGCCCCACUCCGGGUGGAUCCCAGAGUCCUGGGGAACCCGUCGCUGUGUGUGCAUGUGUGCAAACUAACCGUGUCAAUGGGGUGAGAUGUGGCGUUUUAUCAAAAUUAGAAAUAAAAACAUCCAUUCAAAAGA